rnacentral:tRNA from 1 species
AAUAAGAUGCCUGAUUAAAGGAUUAUCUUGAUAGGGUAAAACAUGUAUGCUAUACUCUUAUUG